rnacentral:RNase_P_RNA from 1 species
GUGGGCGGAAGCUCAUUGUAGAGGUCACAUGCAGAGUGCUCGUCACUCCAAACCAAUCACCUCGGGGAAGGUCUGAGACAAGAGCCAAUCGUUACCCUUGCAGGGUAUCACCUGAUUCGGGUGAGCGAGUGAACAGAAAAUAUGGGCCAACGUGUGUAGUUCUCGCAGGAGAAGCCAGGCGGCGCAGUUUCUCAGCGCCGCCGGUGGAUGUGACUCUCACUGGCUUGGAAUCACUCGCGGCUGGCAGAUGAGUGCGAUGUAUGAGGUGGGGCACGGCUCCACAACCCAAUUCAGACUACUCUCCCUCCAC